rnacentral:rRNA from 1 species
CCCGGGGGCUAAUACCGGAUAAUAUUUUGAACCGCAUGGUUCAAUAGUGAAAGACGGUUUCGGCUGUCACUUAUAGAUGGACCCGCGCCGUAUUAGCUAGUUGGUAAGGUAACGGCUUACCAAGGCGACGAUACGUAGCCGACCUGAGAGGGUGAUCGGCCACACUGGAACUGAGACACGGUCCAGACUCCUACGGGAGGCAGCAGUU